rnacentral:rRNA from 1 species
AUUGAACGCUGGCGGCAGGCCUAACACAUGCAAGUAGAGCGAGCGGCGGACGGGUGAGUAAUGUAUGGGGACUGCCCGCAAGAGGGGGAUAACUACUGGAAACGGUAGCUAAUAACGCAUACUAUCGGAUAACCCAUAGUGGAUUAUCUAGUAGGUGAGGUAAUGGCUCACCUAGCCGACGAUCCCUAGCUGGUCUGAGAGGAUGAUCAGCCACAUGGGGAGUUGGACCGGGCCCCGAACCCUCCGGAGGCAGCAGUGGGGAAUAUUGGACAAGGGGCGCAAGCCUGAUGCAGCCAUGCCGCGUGUAUGAAGAAGGCCCUAGGGUUGUAAAGUACUUUCAGUCGGGAGGCGUUACCGACAGAAGAAGCACCGGCUAACUCCGUGCCAGCCGCCGCGGUAAUAC